AACCAAAAAUCCAAUAAGUGCUAAAAGGGGUCCAGCUGCCUGGACACUGUCUUCAACCCCAAAUGGCCCUCCAGAAACUUCAUAAAAGAUCAAGAAAACAAGAGGCGCUAUUGAAACCUUCUGGAACUUUUCUAACCUAGGAGAAGAUGCUUCUCCUAACACUACAUACUCGGUAUUGUUGGGUUCCGUCAUUAAGCAGAAUCUGAUUAGUUAAGAAACUCCUCUGUUUACUAAGAUUCAACUAUGGACAAUGAUCUUUAAGAAGCAAAAUGUGAUAUGGGAAACGUCCAAACAAUGCAACUUCGAAAUCUUUUGUUGACCCCAGAGCCAGAGGAGCUAUACAGCUCUCACAUAAGAAGAAGGAAGGAGGCGAGAGG
rnacentral:misc_RNA from 1 species